rnacentral:rRNA from 1 species
UAUCAAUAAGCGGAGGAAAAGAAACCAACAGGGAUUGCCCUAGUAACGGCGAGUGAAGCGGCAACAGCUCAAAUUUGAAAUCUGGCGCAAGCCCGAGUUGUAAUUUGUAGAGGAUGCUUCUAGGUAGCGACCGGUCUAAGUUCCUUGGAACAGGACGUCAUAGAGGGUGAGAAUCCCGUAUGUGACCGGCCCGCACCUUCUACGUAGCUCCUUCGACGAGUCGAGUUGUUUGGGAAUGCAGCUCUAAAUGGGAGGUAAAUUUCUUCUAAAGCUAAAUACCGGCCAGAGACCGAUAGCGCACAAGUAGAGUGAUCGAAAGAUGAAAAGCACUUUGGAAAGAGAGUUAAAAAGCACGUGAAAUUGUUGAAAGGGAAGCGCUUACAACCAGACUUCUGGGCGGUGUUCCGCCGGUCUUUUGACCGGUCUACUCUCCGUCCCGAGGCCAACAUCAUCUGGGACCGCCGGAUAAGACCUUAGGAAUGUAGCUCCCUCGGGAGUGUUAUAGCCUGUGGUGAUGCGGCGAGUCUCGGGUGAGGUCCGCGCUUCGGCAAGGAUGUUGGCGUAAUGGUUGUCAGCGGCCCGUCUUGAAACACGG